rnacentral:rRNA from 1 species
GACGCACGCUGGCGGCGUGCCUAAUACAUGCAAGUCGAACGAGCGGCGGACGGGUGAGUAAUGUAUGGGGACUGCCCGCUAGAGGGGGAUAACUACUGGAAACGGUGGCUAAUACCGCAUACUAUCGGAUAACCCAUAUGGGAUUAGCUAGUAGGUGGGGGAAAGGCUCACCUAGGCGACGAUCCCUAGCUGGUGUGAGAGGAUGAUCAGGCACACUGGGAAUGAGACACGGCCCAGACUCCUACGGAGGCAGCAGUUGGGAAUAUUGCACAAUGGGCGCAAGCCUGAUGCAGCCAUGCCGCGUGGAUGAAGAAGGCCUUAGGGUUGUAAAGUACUUUCAGCGGGGAAGCGUUACCCACAGAAAAAGCACCGGCUAACUCCGUGCCAGCAGCCGCGGUAAUUC